UACGGGGGGGGCAAGCGUUGUUCGGAAUUACUGGGCGUAAAGGGCGCGUAGGCGGCCUUCUAAGUCGGACGUGAAAUCCCUCGGCUUAACCGAGGAACUGCGUCCGAUACUGAAAGGCUUGAAUCCGGGAGAGGGAUGUGGAAUUCCAGGUGUAGCGGUGAAAUGCGUAGAGAUCAGGAAGAACACCCGUGGCGCAAGCGGCCACCUGGCAGAGCACUGACGCUGAGGCACGAAAGCGUGGGUAGCGAACCGG
rnacentral:rRNA from 1 species